UAAUAAACCUGAUAUAGCAGAAAGCCCACACCGAGGUACGAUUGAGGACUUGCAGCGGUAGCAGGACUACAG
rnacentral:sRNA from 1 species